rnacentral:lncRNA from 1 species
AAAGCCGAAUCAAAGGGCGCCCAGCCCCCCUCAGGGGCGCCCAGGCGUGGAUUCUGCACAUUUUCUGCAAAUUUUGCAGAUUUGGAAGAACUCACACCCUUAAGUUUCGUUUUAGGCCUUUUGGUGAACUUCUAACUGUCCUAAUUCGAAGUAUAGAUGAAAUUGAACUUGUCUAAGUAACUUUAAGUCUUCCUAACAUCAUUCUCCAAUGAUUAUGCAAGGAUUUCUAAUUCAAAACCUCAUUUUCAUCAACCUAUGGACUCAAAACUAAAUUUACCAUUUGGAGAGUAUAUUUGAUCACUCUAACACUUCUAACAAGUCACUUUUGACUUAACUAAACCAUUCUAAGAGCCUAAUUCGACCUUUAACCCAUAAUUCUCGAAAUCACCCUCUCACUUCCUUUAAGACGACCUAAAAACAACAUAAUCCACCUAACUUGAACUCUAUUAACAUGUAUAACAAUUUUCAUCUCUUCUAAUACUCAAUCCAGUACCCUACCUUAUACAAUUCACUUCAUAUGCAUCCAUUCACAACUUUAUACAUUUUAGAAAACAAGGAUUUCAUACUCAUACACAAAAUCAUCUACUUUCAGCUCAAACACAAUACUUCACAAUAUACAACUUACACAUGCAUUAUUUUACAACGUCCACAGGUCACAAUUCAUGCAUAUACAUCACACAACACAGAAUCAUAACCCAGCUUCCCUUACCUGGGAAUUUCACAAUAUAGCCCAACUAAAUCCGGUUCAAGCUUGCACUUCACGGAAUUUCUAGAAAAACCUACAGACCUUAAAUUGGAAACAAGAAAUAACUUUUAGAACCUAAUUUAAGUCAGAAUUUGGAGGAAGGCACAAUCAACUACAUGCAACAGGGUUUUGUUACAUGAUUACAACCCUAAUAUUACGUGGGACAUGGAAGAGGACUUACCGGCAGAGAAAGGGAAAACUAAUCGGUUGAAAAUGGAGCUCUUUGAGUCGCAAUCACUGAGGUGCCAUCCAAUUGAAGAUUCUCUGGAGCAAUGAAGCUUGAGGUUAGAGAGAAUGCAGAGGAUGGGAGUUGGAUUUUUUUCUAGAGAGAGAAUGAAAGUGUGGAAAAUGGCUUAAAGUUUGUAAAAGUGGAGUUUUCUAAUGUCAAUGUGGUAGCUUACAG